AAGAACCUUGCCAAUCGAAUUGGCUAUAAAUUUGAUUUAGCUCAAGCAAGAAAGGGAGCUUUUGAGCAGUUGAACAAUAUGCUGGGACUAUCGAUGAACUAUAAGUUUGAUGCUUGUGAGCUCCUUUGUUAGGUCCGGAGGGUCUCGAAUAGGUGUAUGGAGGGGGAGGGGGGGGAAUACACCUAUGGGCUAUUUUUGUUUCCUCUAAAAACAGAGGGAUCUCAGGAUAGAGAUCAAAAUGAAACUUUACAUGCAAACUAUGACACCUGUUGACUGAAAAGAGUUUUGACCAAACAUAGUUGACGACUGAUACUGAAAGAUCUUCAGUAAGGAGUUAUCAGUUAAGUUACUGGAACUUAACUGAUACACGUAGAGGCUUCAGUCGAGUUCGCUAAAACAGAGAUGAUAUAAAUCUUCCUAACUAUCAGAGGAUAGAUCAGUCAGGCUGAUAUCAUACGCAGCGAAAAUAACUUUGUUUCGUAAUAGCCUCGGUUGAGCACGUUGUUAGUCUUAGGUUUCUCUUUGCAGUUAUUCAGUAUUUAGUUUAUCAAAAGUAAGAACAUAAUUAAGAGUGUAAAGACUGAAAGCUGUAAAUAAUACAGAGACUUUUACGUGGUUCGGAAAACACUUUCCUACAUCCAUGGUCGGUUGAUCAGACCAACAAUCCACUCCGCAAGUGCUUAACUGGUGCACUGCAAACCGAACCGUGUGCUUGCCGGGUGCACACAACCGUUUCACUGAAGAGUCCACUCUUCAGUACCCACACUUCACUCGUGUCGGAUUUCUCACUCUCAGCACAACCCGUGCUAAGAACUCUCAGAGUCAGAGUACCUUCCUGAACUCCGAAUCACUCAAACACUCGACUUCUUUCUUUUCGAAAGGAGGUUUGAACAACUUGCCAACUGUACUUCAAAGAACAAGUUCUUUGGAGCAAGUUUGACCUAGGCUUCUGGGUAAACAGAGGAUUGCCUAAGGUCUAAGAGAAUGUGUGUAAUCAGCAGUGACUGAUUUUUGGCUUUGGAAUUCUCUUCUUCGAUUCAAGCUUUAGGGAGGUUAAGCUUUGGGCUGAGUAGCAAUUUUGGCAGAGCUUCAGCUUAUGUCAUUGAAUCGGUGAAGAUUGAAGUGAUCCUUGAACACUAUUUAUAGGACAAGUCUUGAAUAGAUCUGUUGGCGGAGAACGUCUUCAAGAUUUCUUCCGUUGGAGAGCAUUUCGAAUUUGGGCUGAGGCUUCAAUCUUCAAGGUUCCUUGUUUGGUGGGAACGACUAUCUUGAAGAGCAGAAGAUGUGACGUCUCUGAUAAAGUAGCCACCAAAUAGGAAUGACCUCUGCAGAGAGGGACGAUCCUGAGAUCUCUGCAUUUAAUGCGGCUGUACUAUGUGAGCACGUGGCUUCCUUUGAACGUUGGAAGUUCAGUUCGAGGAAGAACGUUGGUAUCAUCAAAACAAGACAUGAUAUUCCAUGGGGUUCCCAACAUCCUUGCAUUCAAAGUCGAGCGUCUCGAAAUCUUCAUAAGUCUGCCCGAAAAUGCUAGGGCACGGUACAUGGUGCAUAUUCUGCAGGCUAAGGGGAAUUGAGAUGGUGUGGUUGGAAUUCUUUUUUGCGUAAUUAAAAAAACUGCUAAACCUCUGGGUUUUUUUUUAUGCCAUGAAUUAAAACAUUGCAGUCACGGUUGUUUGGUGUAAAAUUGUAUAUGCAGCCACUGGAAGAAUGUACUUUUUUGUUUGUUUGUAAAACUCUACUUUUAAUAGAUGUGGUAUAAAUCAAGCAAUA
rnacentral:lncRNA from 1 species